rnacentral:rRNA from 1 species
UACCCGCUGAACUUAAGCAUAUCAAUAAGCGGAGGAAAAGAAACUAACAAGGAUUCCCUUACCCGCUGAACUUAAGCAUAUCACUAAGCGGAGGAAAAGAAACUAACUAGGAUUCCCCCAGUAACUGCGAGUGAAGAGGGAAGAGCUCAUCAUUGGAAUCUGGCAGUGUUUUCACUGUCCGAGUUGUAGAUGAGGAGUAGUCCAUCUGGACUGCAUGGCGUCCAAGUACAAUAGGCCGUCAGUGGGACAUCAUAGAGGGUGACAAUCCCGUCCUUGAUGCCAAUGUGCAAGUCCGUUACGAUGGCUAUCUCAGAGAGUCGAGCAGUUUGGGAUUUGCUGCUUAAACAUGGGAGGUAGAUUCCUUCUAAAGCUAAAUACAGGCGAGAGACCGAUAGAGAACAAGUACCGCAAGGGAAAGAUGAAAUAGCACUCUGUGAAGGGAGUCAAAAGACGUGAAAUUGUUGCGAGAGAAGCGAUUCAAGUCAGCGUAGCUAGGCCCAUCAAGCCUCUUGCUUUGGACUAGCUUUGCCAGCGGUCUUGUCCUAAGAGACUUGACUUUUAUAUGUCCAGCCUGGUAUGUACAGGUAGCCCCAUCGGGGCCAGUGACAUGGCUGGUGGAAUGGCUUGCAAUCGACCCGUCUUGAAACACGGACCAAGGAGUCUAACAUGUAUGCGAGUAUAAGGGUGGCAAACCCGUAUGCGCAAUGAAAGUGAUUUUCGGUGAUUGAGAAUGGCCUGAUGACCAGACAAGCAAUAUUAUGUCCCUCGUACGGCCAUUGCCCAAGUUCCGUGGUAGAUCCCACGAACAUGGAGUUGGAGCAUACAUGCUAGGACCCGAAAGAUGGUGAACUAUGCCUGGACAAAGCGAAGCCAAAGGAAACUCUGGUGGAGGCUUGUAGCGAUUCUGACGUGCAAAUCGAUCGUCUGAUCUGGGUAUAGGGGCGAAAGACUAAUCGAACCAUCUCAUAGCUGGUUCCUGCCGAAGUUUCCCUCAGGA